AGUAAUACCAGACUUGGAUUCUAGACAACAGUAAAUGAGAGAAAAAAGGAUAACCUAUUAUUUAUAACAUGAUUAAAUAAAGAUGUAAAAAUGAUUGACAUUUUUGUAAAAUGACAGUUUUCUGUGACAGAUUAAAGAUCAAAUGUACUAGCUGGCCAGACCAGCGUACACGCAAGACAAAUCGUAACAAGAAAAUAUUCUGGGAAAGACGUCAACUGCAUGCUUUAACUGCAGCUAAAGGCAAGUCUUUGGACUUGGAGAGGCUGCAGGGCCGGAGAGUACCACACUUAGCCAGACGUGUGAGCACCAUAGACUGCAACGUGCUCAACACCAGGAUGACCAAACAGAAACAGAAGUGCUUCCCUAUGGAGAACAACGACAGAGAGAGAUGUGACACUCACGGAUGAUGGGGCUGCACUGGCCUCCUCCAGGCAGUAGGUCGUUGAGGAUGAUGAGGAACAUGAUGAAGCUGAGAACCAGUGUAACCUUGAAUGAGAUACGCUCGGCCCCUCCCAGCGGCAGGGCGAAGCUCACCACAUCAGCCACAAUGAUCAGUAUACUGGGCAGGACCAGGGACAUAAACGGGUUUUCGGACCGCAUUUUCAGCGACACCUGUGAAGACAGAUGGGUAGGCCAGACUGAAAUCAUUUGUUUUUCGAGUUCUUGCAUCUAAACGUAUAGCAUUUGUUUAAAAUUGAAAGCGCAUUACAUUCCAAAAUCAGACUUUGUCAGAUGUUUUCAGAACUCAAAAGAAGCCUUGUGUCAAUGAGUCCACAUCCUUCACCAUCGGUUUGCAGAUCCAACUAUGCCUUAACCCCAAAUAAAUGGGAAAAGAAACGCACUGCAAAUUUGGACUGCAAAUCUUUUUAAUUAAUUUGGAAUUGUGGCAUGUAGGUGGAUCUACACAGUAGAUAGCCUGGGAUGUGUAUUUAUCUCAACGGAACAAUACUUAUGAAAAUAUCAGAUAAAUUUUUAUUUAAGUGUAUUGUAUUUUUUCUGUGUAAAUGUUUAAGCUCUGCCCUUAAAAAUAGGAAGAGUAAAGUAUCUUUACAUGUCUCAUAAAAAAACUACUGAAAUCACCCGGAGCACUCACUAACCCAUAGAUAGUUGCGAUCAUCUCUGCCUCCUUUAGCAUCGAGUUUCACGUUCUCGGUUAGCCAGUCCCCACGGUUUGCACUAGUUGUGCUCACAGCCCCAAAGUUCAGGAACAUGCCACAUCCUGGAAAUGCAGAUAUUUUAUACUAGUUCAGUCAUUCAAAGAUCAUACCUUAGCUUCACACCCCUAAAAAUCAGUUGACAUCAAACUAAAUAGGGAGUUGAUUUGGCCAUGAAAUGCUGACAAUUGCACGAUUGCCCCGAUCACUCCCAUAGAUUUUUUUUGUUUGUUAGUGAUGGCUAAAGUUUGUAGUUGUUGUUCAGAGAACACUGAACCAUGGAAUACACUUUCUCCUGGCCCAUAGACUACUUUCAGGGUGAGGAACCAUCUAACAUCAAGUUGUAAAAAAAAAAGCUUACAGGAGUAAUCAAAUAAUAAGAAUCUGGAAGAUUUUUAAAGUGUUCCCGCUUUCAACAUGCACACUAAUAAAACACUGACUCCUC